rfam:Triticum urartu cultivar G1812 contig1079602, whole genome shotgun sequence.
GUGGUACUCCUUCCGUUUGGAAUUAUUUGUCGCAAAAAUGGAUGUAUCUAGAUGUAUUUUAGUUCUAAAUACAUCCAUUUUCGAGACAAAUAAUUCCGAACGGAGGAAAUACGUA